rnacentral:rRNA from 1 species
UACAGGGGGGGCAAGCGUUGUUCGGAAUUACUGGGCGUAAAGGGUUCGUAGGUGGCUUACUAAGUCAGACGUGAAAUCCCUCAGCUUAACUGGGGAACUGCGUCUGAUACUGGAUGGCUUGAGUUCGGGAGAGGGAUGCGGAAUUCCAGGUGUAGCGGUGAAAUGCGUAGAUAUCUGGAGGAACACCGGUGGCGAAGGCGGCAUCCUGGACCGACACUGACGCUGAGGAGCGAAAGCCAGGGGAGCAAACGGG